CCCCCUCACCUGGCGGUAAUCCAUUUGGCUUUCAACUGAGCACCUCAAUCAACCACACCAAGAUGAACCCGCACAACACAGCCUCUGCCAGUAUCCCCUUCUACACAAGAUAACAUCUGAGGUGCCGCCACGCUGGUGCUGGCUGCGGUGUGAAGGGCGUCCUGGCGGGGUAGCAGUGUGUGGAUGAAUGGUGAUGGAGGGCGCGGUGGUG